AGAUGUGAAGGCAAUCUGGCUCUGUUAUCUGUUGCACCAUUGGUCAUGAGGGUUGAUUUGACUGAUCUGGCUGUCUUGGUGGGUGUUGUCUUCCUCCCUUACUGCUCCAUGUGCAUCCCUCCCAUAGCUGUGUGCUCAGUCGAAGAGGAUGACCAUCUACCAUACAGGAAGACAGUUCUUCAGUGGAGGGUAUAUGAGUAAGUGCACCCCUCUGCUAGAACCUCCAAACAUGCUCUCAAGAAUGAAGAAAUGCCUUAUCCCACUCCCAGGCCUCAGAACUGUUUUAAUCUGAGAGAAAGAAAAAUAACUUGAAUACAUGAUAGUAAAAUACAUAAGUAACUUGGCUUUCCUUU
rnacentral:snRNA from 1 species